rnacentral:misc_RNA from 1 species
AGUCGUAACAAGGUUUCCGUAGGUGAACCUGCGGAAGGAUCAUUAACACGUAUCCAACGUUAAACCCCCCGUGCACACAGCGACCUGCUCCAAAAAUUUCGGCCUUUUGGCAAUUCCUGGUAAAUCAUCGCCGAACAGUUUUGAUUCAGGGACAUCCAAAGGGUCGGGGUAGGGUAUUAAAGUAGUAGUCAAUGCAAAGCAACCUGGUUUCUUUGAAGCAGAAAGUGUGAUGGCGUGAGCCGGAGAACGGACCGAGUGGUAGUUCAAAGGUGCCUUCUGUCGCGCACUGUGGAAAGGAAGACGCUUUACGAAUAACACGGUCAGUGACCGGGUUCCUGGUCCUAGACCCCAUAUUCACCACCACAGUCGCAGACGAGGUAGGGAUACGUCCCCCACCAAAUAAAUACUUGAACAACUAUCUUGGUUCUC